rnacentral:rRNA from 1 species
AUUGAACGCUGGCGGCAGGCCUAACACAUGCAAGUCGAGCGGCAGCGGGAAAGUAGCUUGCUACUUUUGCCGGCGAGCGGCGGACGGGUGAGUAAUGCCUGGGGAUCUGCCCAGUCGAGGGGGAUAACUACUGGAAACGGUAGCUAAUACCGCAUACGCCCUACGGGGGAAAGCAGGGGACCUUCGGGCCUUGCGCGAUUGGAUGAACCCAGGUGGGAUUAGCUAGUUGGUGAGGUAAUGGCUCACCAAGGCGACGAUCCCUAGCUGGUCUGAGAGGAUGACCAGCCACACUGGAACUGAGACACGGUCCAGACUCCUACGGGAGGCAGCAGUGGGGAAUAUUGCACAACGGGGGAAACCCUGAUGCAGCCAUGCCGCGUGUGUGAAGAAGGCCUUCGGGUUGUAAAGCACUUUCAGCGAGGAGGAAAGGUUGGUAGCUAAUAACUGCCAGCUGUGACGUUACUCGCAGAAGAAGCACCGGCUAACUCCGUGCCAGCAGCCGCAGUAAUAC